AUGCUCGCUUCAGCAGCACAUAUACCAAAAUUGGAAUGAUAGGGAAGAUUAGCACGGCCCCUGCGCAAGGAGGACACGCCAAUUGGUGAAGUGUUCCAUGUUUUC
ensembl:snRNA U6 U6 spliceosomal RNA